GAUGAAGAACGUAGCGAAAUGCGAUAAGUAGUGUGAAUUGCAGAAUUCAGUGAAUCAUCGAAUCUUUGAACGCACAUUGCGCCCCUCGGUAUUCCGUGGGGCAUGCCUGUUCGAGCGUCAUCUACACCCUCAAGCUCUGCUUGGUGUUGGGCGUCUGUCCCGCCUCCGCGCGUGGACUCGCCCCAAAUUCAUUGGCAGCGGUCCUUGCCUCCUCUCGCGCAGCACAUUGCGCUUCUUGAGGGACUCCGGUUCGCGUCCAACAAGCACAUUUACCGUCUUUGACCUCGGAUCAGGUAGGGAUACCCGCUGAACUUAAGCAUAUCAAUAAGCGGAGGA
rnacentral:misc_RNA from 1 species